GCGACGUUGCGAAGUCGAGCUUGGGGAAGGACGAUGAGACCUUGUACUGCGUGGCCCCAGAAGCGCCGAAAUCGAAUCAGUGGGCGGACAUUGCAGGCAGGCAUGCUGGGGUCCAUAUGAAGACUUCCGAUCACCAGUUAACAGGGCAACGCGCGGUUCCAGGAGGUGGGAAAACAGAAGCAAUGUCAUCAGCUGAGCUUGAAGACGAGAGAGGAGAUACUAGAGGUCUGAGAAGUUGCAGGUCCUUCUAGUUGUGGCAUGUGGGAUGCCGACUCAGCAUGGCCUGAUGAGUG